AUUGAACGCUGGCGGCAUGCCUUACACAUGCAAGUCGAACGGCAGCACGGGAGCAAUCCUGGUGGCGAGUGGCGAACGGGUGAGUAAUAUAUCGGAACGUGCCCAGUCGUGGGGAUAACGUAGCGAAAGCUACGCUAAUACCGCAUACGAUCUAUGGAUGAAAGCGGGGGAUCGCAAGACCUCGCGCGAUUGGAGCGGCCGAUAUCAGAUUAGGUAGUUGGUGAGGUAAAGGCUCACCAAGCCGACGAUCUGUAGCUGGUCUGAGAGGACGACCAGCCACACUGGGACUGAGACACGGCCCAGACCUCCUACGGGAGGCAGCAGUGGGGAAUUUUUGGACAAUGGGCGCAAGCCUGAUCCAGCAAUGCCGCGUGCAGGAUGAAGGCCUUCGGGUUGGUUAAACGUA
rnacentral:rRNA from 1 species